UCAGGCGCGUAGCUCCCUAUACGCUAACACGCAGUUGCGUGCACAUCGAUUCGGCAAGCAAAAAAAAAAAUGCCAAAAUAAAAAUUUAUAAAUUAAUUAUGGUUAAAGGAAACACAUAUAUUGUCACUUUUUUAAUUGAUGAACUGUCAUUAAAUAACGGCAUUUCAAAAUAAACGUUUUAUUGGAGAUCAUGUAAAAAUCGGACAGUAACUUGUAUCUUUUACCAGAUUUGAAUUUAUUAUAC
rnacentral:lncRNA from 1 species